rnacentral:rRNA from 1 species
AGCGAACGCUGGCGGCAGGCCUAACACAUGCAAGUCGAACGAAGUCUUCGGACUUAGUGGCGGACGGGUGAGUAACACGUGGGAGCGUGCCUUUAGGUUCGGAAUAACUCAGGGAAACUUGUGCUAAUACCGAAUGUGCCCCUCGGGGGAAAGAUUUAUCGCCUUUAGAGCGGCCCGCGUCUGAUUAGCUAGUUGGUGAGGUAAAGGCUCACCAAGGCUACGAUCAGUAGCUGGUCUGAGAGGAUGACCAGCAACAUUGGGACUGAGACACGGCCCAAACUCCUACGGGAGGCAGCAGUGGAGAAUCUUGCGCAAUGGGCGAAAGCCUGACGCAGCCAUGCCGCGUGGAUGAUGAAGGUCUUAGGAUUGUAAAAUCCUUUCACCGGUGAAGAUAAUGACUGUAGCCGGAGAAGAAGCCCCGGCUAACUUCGUGCCAGCCGCCGCCGUAAAAC